rnacentral:rRNA from 1 species
UUGAACGCUGGCGGCAGGCCUAACACAUGCAAGUCGAGCGGAUGAAGGGAGCUUGCUCCUGGAUUCAGCGGCGGACGGGUGAGUAAUGCCUAGGGAUCUGCCUGGUAGUGGGGGAUAACGUCCGGAAACGGGCGCUAAUACCGCAUACGUCCUGAGGGAGAAAGUGGGGGAUCUUCGGACCUCACGCUAUCAGAUGAGCCUAGGUCGGAUUAGCUAGUUGGUGGGGUAAAGGCCUACCAAGGCGACGAUCCGUAACUGGUCUGAGAGGAUGAUCAGUCACACUGGAACUGAGACACGGUCCAGACUCCUAUGGGAGGCAGCAGUGGGGAAUAUUGGACAAUGGGCGAAAGCCUGAUCCAGCCAUGCCGCGUGUGUGAAGAAGGUCUUCGGAUUGUAAAGCACUUUAAGUUGGGAGGAAGGGCAGUAAGUUAAUACCUUGCUGUUUUGACGUUACCAACAGAAUAAGCACCGGCUAACUUCGUG